AUACGGAGGAUGCGAGCGUUAUCCGGAUUUAUUGGGUUUAAAGGGUGCGUAGGUGGGAUAUUAAGUCAGCUGUGAAAGUUUGGGGCUCGACCUUAAAAUUGCAGUUGACACUGGUUUCCUUGAGUACGGUACAGGUGGGCGGAAUUCGUGGUGUAGCGGUGAAAUGCUUAGAUAUCACGAAGAACUCCGAUCGCGAAGGCAGCUCACCGGGCCGGAACUGACACUGAUGCUCGAAAGUGCGGGUAUCAAACAGGAUUAGAUACCCUGGUAGUCCGCACAGUAAACGAUGAAUACUCGCUGUUUGCGAUACACUGUAAGCGGCCAAGCGAAAGCGUUAAGUAUUCCACCUGGGGAGUACGCCGGCAACGGUGAAACUCAAAUGAAUUGGCGGGG
rnacentral:rRNA from 1 species